UACGGAGGGGGCUAGCGUUGUUCGGAAUUACUGGGCGUAAAGCGCGCGUAGGCGGCUUUGUAAGUUAGAGGUGAAAGCCCGGGGCUCAACCCCGGAAUUGCCUUUAAGACGUGCAUCGCUUGAACGUCGGAGAGGUGAGUGGAAUUCCGAGUGUAGAGGUGAAAUUCGUAGAUAUUCGCAAGAACACCAGUGGCGAAGGCGGCUCACUGGCCCGAUACCUGACGCUGAGGCACGAAAGCGGUGGGGAGCAAACAGGG
rnacentral:rRNA from 1 species